rnacentral:rRNA from 1 species
GCCAACUAUGUGCCAGCAGCCGCGGUGAUACAUAGGCACCAAGCGUUGUCCGGAUUUAUUGGGCGUAAAGAGCUCGUAGGCGGUUCAGUCAGUCGGGUGUGAAAACUCUGGGCUUAACCCAGAGCCUGCACCCGAUACUGCUGUGACUAGAGUUCGGUAGGGGAGCGGGGAAUUCCUGGUGUAGCGGUGGAAUGCGCAGAUAUCAGGAGGAACACCAAUGGCGAAGGCAGGUCUCUGGGCCAUUACUGACACUGAGGAGCGAAAGCGCGGGGAGCGAACAGGAUUAGAUACCCUGGUAGUCCGCGCCGUAAACGGUGGGCACUAGUUGUGGGAACCUUCCACGGUUUCCGCGACGCAGCUAACGCAUUAAGUGCCCCGCCUGGGGAGUACGAUCGCAGAUUAAAACUCAAAGGAAUUGACGGGGGCCCGCACAAGCAGCGGAGCGUGUUGCUUAAUUCGAUGCUACGCGAAGAACCUUACCUGGGUUUGACAUGUUGGAAAGCCACAGAGAUGUGGUGUCCGCAGGGCCAAACACAGUGGUGCAUGGCUGUCGUCAGCUCUGUCGUGAGAUGUGGGUAAGUCCGCACGAGCGCACCCUAUCUAUGUGCAGCAAGUAUGUUGGGACUCAUGAGACCGCGGGUCACUCGAGA